rnacentral:rRNA from 1 species
AGUGAACGCUAGCGGUAGGCCUAACACAUGCAAGUCGAACGGCAGCACAGGAGAGCUUGCUCUCUGGGUGGCGAGUGGCGGACGGGUGAGGAAUACAUCGGAAUCUACUUUUUCGUGGGGGAUAACGUAGGGAAACUUACGCUCAUACCGCAUACGACCUACGGGUGAAAGCAGAGGAUCUUCGGACCUUGCGCGAUUGAAUGAGGCGAUGUAGGAUUGGCUAGUUGGCGGGGUAAAGGCCCACCAAGGCGACGAUCCGUAGCUGGUCUGAGAGGAUGAUCAGCCACACUGGAACUGAGACACGGUCCAGACUCCUACGGGAGGCAGCAGUGGGGAAUAUUGGACAAUGGGCGCAAGCCUGAUCCAGCCAUACCGCGUGGGUGAAGAAGGCCUUCGGGUUGUAAAGCCCUUUUGUUGGGAAAGAAAUCCAGCUGGCUAAUACCCGGUUGGGAUGACGGUACCCAAAGAAUAAGCACCGGCUAACUUCGUGCCAGCAGCCGCCGUAA